UACGUAGGGGGCUAGCGUUGUCCGGAAUCAUUGGGCGUAAAGCGCGCGUAGGCGGCCAGAUAAGUCCGGUGUGAAAGUCACAGGCUCAACCUGUGAAUGCCGCUGGAAACUGUCUGGCUAGAGUCCGGAAGGGGCGAGUGGAAUUCCUGGUGUAGCGGUGGAAUGCGCAGAUAUCAGGAGGAACACCGAUGGCGAAGGCAGCUCGCUGGGACGGUACUGACGCUGAGGCGCGAAAGCGUGGGGAGCGAACAGG
rnacentral:rRNA from 1 species